rnacentral:rRNA from 1 species
UACGAAGGGGGCUAGCGUUGUUCGGAAUCACUGGGCGUAAAGCGCACGCAGGCGGAUUGAUAAGUCAGGGGUGAAAUCCCGGGGCUCAACCUCGGAAUUGCCUUUGAUACUGUCUGUCUUGAGUCCGGGAGAGGUGAGUGGAAUUCCUAGUGUAGAGGUGAAAUUCGUAGAUAUUCGGCGGAACACCAGUGGCGAAGGCGACUCACUGGCCCGAUACUGACGCUGAGGCGCGAAAGCGUGGGGAGCAAGCAGG